UUAAAGCUAAAUCCUAAGCCCCUAAGCAAACUCUCACCAUACAUUAGUAGUUUUGAAGCUCUUUUUUUUUUCUUUCUAAAACCUCUUUCUCUUUGUUUUUCUUUUCCUUUAAUUUUCUCAUCUUCUUCACCAACCAUGAACCAAACCUAAUUGCUAGCUUUCAGAGAUUCAUAUCCCACAGCCCCAAAUCUCUUGUUCUCUUCCUCAAAUGGGAUGGUUCAAAUCCUUCCUCAUUUCACCUUUCAAGAAGCUUUGGGAUCGUCUUCACUCCCCUCACAAAUCAAACCGAAAAGGAAUCUACAUUUUGUAUAAAGAUGUGAAGUCUUGCCCUUGUGAAGAUGUUCAAAUGCUUUGGUCCAUUCUCGUGCAGUCUGCCUCUCCUCCUAAUUCACCAUUACCAUCAUGAAGUCGAGCUUUUCUCCGUUGCCAAAAGAUGGCGAUCCUUCGUAUAGAGAACACCGAUCGACUUAUCAUACUACGUAUGCUUUGAUGCAUUUUGUAAAUUCUUUCAACUUCUUUUCUGCUUCUUCUUCUCUUCCCCUUUCUAUUAACCAUAUGGAAAUAUACAUAAUUUUACAAUUCACACCAGAAAAAUGGUGGAUUAAUCGAUACAAACCAAGCGUUAAAGAGUCUAAAUUGAUAUUUUUCCUUAAAA